AACGGGGAACAGCCCAAACCAUUGAGCUUGCUCAGUGGGGUUGUAGGACUGAACAUUAGAGUUACCAAAGUUAGUGGUAGUCGAAGCAGUUGGAACGCUGCGUCAAAGAGGGUGAAAAUCCCGUAGAUCAAACUGCUAACCCUCUGUUCAGGAUCCUGAGUACGGCGGAACACGUGAAAUUCCGUCGGAAUCUGGGAGGACCAUCUCCCAAGGCUAAAUACUACCUAGUGACCGAUAGUGGACCAGUACCGUGAG
rnacentral:rRNA from 1 species